GAUGAACGCUGACAGAAUGCUUAACACAUGCAAGUCUUUGGCGAAGCUGUGCUUGCACAGCCUAGCCAAGGCGGACGGGUGAGUAACGCGUAAGGAACUUGCCCUGCAGUCAGGGAUAACAGACGGAAACGACUGAUAAGACCUGGUAAAGUCAGGCGGACUCAUGUCCAGCCUGAUGAAAAGAGAUGCUGCAGGAGAGCCUUGCGUCCUAUUAGCUUGUUGGUGGGGUAACGGCCCACCAAGGCGAUGAUAGGUAGCCGGCCUGAGAGGGUGGACGGCCACAAGGGGACUGAGAUACGGCCCUUACUCCUACGGGAGGCAGCAGUGGGGAAUAUUGGACAAGGGGGGCAACUCUGAUCCAGCAAUUCUGUGUGCACGAUGAAGGUUUUCGGAUUGUAAAGUGCUUUCAGCAGGGAAGAAAAAAAUGACGGUACCUGCAGAAGAAGCGACGGCUAAAUACGUG
rnacentral:rRNA from 1 species